CUUCUCAGUGCCGACAUUCUUCAGAUACUGUAUGUCAUGGAGCUCUGAGAUUCAUUACAAAGCAUUGUUCCCUGUUCAUCCAAGUCAGCUGGUCCUUUUUAACCUCCGCUAGAUUCAAGUGUUGGAUUAUUUAGAAAACCUUUUGGAGUUUCAACCACCUUAUUUAUGUUCUCUGCUCAGCGCUUCUUCACAGCAGCUCCUUCAGCCUUCCAAAGCAGCCUGAUUCUCAUGACAGCUCAUUUUAGAGUGGAGUGAAUGUUGUACAAAGAAACCAGGCAGUUUUCCAGUCCGCCCCGUGCCGUGGCCUCCUCAGGACCCCGCUGUGUGCUGCCUCUGCCCCGGCUAGAGGAUCCGUCCACCCGCUCCCUGCUCCUCCUCUCAGCGCACUCUCCGGUGCAGGGCGCGUUCCCGAGCCGCGCGUUUAAAACCUUAAUCGGAGCUAUUUAGUUAUUAAGCCACUUUUAGCUGUUAUUCAUCACGCACACUCUGCCGCCCCCUCCUCUCCGGCUAAAAACGGUGUGGAACUGAAUGAAUCGGAAGCUUAAUAGUGCGUCCGAGUCAUUAGAGAACAUUAGCGCAGCGGGCUGCUGCUGGCGGGAACAGCAGAUAUGAUACUGCAGUGAAAUGCAGGUGAAUCCACCCUGACAGCACCCACUAACUCCCUUGUAGUUCUGCUCGAAGUAAACACAUUUUCAACUAAAAAGAAGAGCUGUGUAAAAAAUAAAAGCAGGGCUGGUUGGUAAUAUUAAAGUGCCCGAAGCGCACCGAGCGUUUUUAAAAGUCCCAGCGAAAAAAAAAAGCCCAGUGAAAUGUUGUCAUACUGUGCUUCUGGAUAAAGGUGUCCAAUUAAGAUAAAAUAUCAGCAUCAACACAGACACUUCUUACGUUUCUAUUUCCACGAUGCAUUUUAAAACUGUGGUACUGUUUUCAUCGCGGGGCUGCACGGUGGCGCGGUGGCUAGCACCUUUAUCUUGCAGCUAGAAGAUCCCCGGUUCGCGUCCCCGCCUUCCCGGAUCUCUCUGCACGGAGUUUGCAUGCGUUGGUUUUCUCCUGCUUCCUCCCACAGAGUCCAAAAACACGCUGAGGUUAAUUAGUGAUUGUCUGUAGGUGUGAACUGUGUGUGAUUGUCUCUCUGUGUAGCCCUGUGAUAGACUGGUGACCUGUCCAGAUGCCCCCUGACUUCACCCUAAGUCAGCUGGGAUAGACUCCAGCCCCCCCGCGACCCUAAUGAGGAUUCAGCGGCGUAUAGAUAAUGGACGGAUGUUUCCAUCUAUUUCUUCUGCAAUAACAUCUACAGCUAACGCGAUGGACUGUGUGGCUGGAUGGAGACCUACCUUCAGUCCUGUCCGGGUGUCAGACUGGAGCCAGAGCAGAGCAGCAGAGGACUGUGCAGAGCAGCGUGGAACAAGACUGACACAACACGGACACACACUCCACUUUUCAACCACAAAACACAGGCACCAAGGACGACUUUCUUUGCAGAUAAAUCAAGGAGUGAGUGUACACAAACACGCAGGAGUGCAGGUUAUGCUGCAGACUCACUGGAGCAUGGAUGGUAGUGUUUGUACUCUGUGACAAACUUGUGCCUCCAAUUUUGUUGGUUUUAGGAAUAAAUUCUCCUCCAUGAGUCAUUUUCCAAUUCUACACACAUAAAACACUUGACAUAACAGCAGGAAUAGUUCACGUAACGCUAGUUUUAUUUAUUUCUAAAAUGGAGAUACAAGGUUUACAGCUGACAGCAGUACUACAUGAGUAUUUGCAGAAGUCGUAUUUAAAUGCUAUCACCCACUGAUGAAUGAACUUACAGGCACCUAUGGUUUCUAACUGAAUGUCUGAGUUCUAUUUCAUGUAGUUCUGCCGCUUCAUUAUACUAUCACAGAAAAAUAAUUAACAGUAUUAAUAUGAAACUAAAUCCGCACAAAUUUCAAACUUUUGUGAGAAAAUUUUGCAAAUGUAACGUAUACAGGUUGAAAUUUAUAAACGUCUGUUCUCUGAUAAUUUGCAGGUUUCUCAUGGCCACUACUGACAUGAAUCUAUUACGAUACCACUGUAUGUUUCAGUCUGUGGUCUUAGAAUUUUAAUCCAUUUAAUUCAAACUGUGUUGCUUCCAUUUACUUUGGAACAGAAUUAUUUUUGAAAAAUCUUAACAUUGUUUUACUUUUUAAGACAGAAAAGGAUAAUUCACAUUUUGUUUUUGUACAAAUACAAACCCAGUAUAUAUGCAAUUUAUACAGCAUUCAAAUGAAAAGAAAAAUGAUGUUUUCUAAAAAAAAAAAAAAAAAAAAAGGUGCGAAGGCUUGCAUGUUCAUCUUUGCCUUCAGAACAUUUUUUUGACCUUUCAGGAGACCAUCAGAAGAUGUCAAAAAUGCAUCAGUAGCACAUUUAAAACAAGUCGGUUUCGUUGGCUCCAUUUUUCAUGCAAAGUUGUGACAACGGCACUAUCAAUCAAGUCUUGCUUUAGGAGGCUGAGAGGCACAGUUAAAUGGAAAUGCAGCAUAUUUAAUGACACGGCUCAUAUCUAUCCUAAUGCUCAGUGCCCACUUUAUUAGGUACACCUGUAUAAUACCUAAUAUACCUGAUAUAAUAUUAAAUUGUGUAGCUGCACCUAUGUUUUGCUGGGUUCUUUUGUCUUGUUGGGAAUAACAGUGAGCAUGAGUAUUGUCAUUUACAGUUGAUUCUUCUUAGAACAAGUUGGAAAUAUGGAUCUCACAUAUUGAAUUUUAUUUUCUGGUGAGUGCUGGUAUGGGAAGAUUUAAGCCUCUGCACCGUCUUGUUAUCUGCUCUAGUCUUUGUACUGUGUGUGUGAGUCUACUCCUUCCCUCACUUUCCCUCUGCUUCCAUGUGUGGCUGUAUCAGCAUUCAUGUGUGUGUGUGUGUGUGUGUGUGUGUGUGUAUAAAUGUGAUCAGGAAUUCAUUAGUUGAGAGGAAGCUCUAUGCCGCAGUCUGUUUUCUGUCAGUCUGUCGCACGCUGAUUUUUUUUUUCCCAAGGCCAAGAGGAUAUCCCUUACACACACACACACACACACACACACACACACACACACACACACACACACACACACACACACACACACACACACACACACACACACACACACACACACACACACACACACACACACAUACACACACACACAAAGCCUUUUUAACUGCAAACCCACAGACCUUAGCCAAGGAGAGUUUCCUUAAAAUCCUAUGUUGCUAGUCGCAGAGCAAAAAUGUUCAAUAGUAAACUCAAAUAUUACAGUACUCUCCAUACUGUAGUAUUUAUUAUAUGCUACUAGCAUAAUAACUGAUUUAAAGACUCCUCAGCACUGUGUGAUUACAACUAUUUCAGACACCAACCCCAAGAUCAGAUUACUAUUAUUUCUAUUUUGUAAGUUAGUUUUUCAUUGCAUCUUAAAUGGUAGCUGUAUUAAAAUGCUGUGAUUACAUGUGCUGGUAGAAUAUUAAAAGAUACCGAGACUUGGCUCAGGCAAAUUUCUGGAGAGGAGAGGAAAGGGAUGAAGGCGGACAGAUUUUGGUUUGCUGCUGGUUUAAUGUGAGCAUUCAUCAGAUGCAGUAGGUUCGUGUGCACUGUCUGCUCUGACCAGCAGGGGACAGAAUAAACUCCCUUUAAUGUUCACAAGAUGAUGUUUGCCCAAUGAAUGCAAGAAUACUGCUUCUUGUACUGCUUAAUGCAGUCGCUGCUCCUGUGGCCUCCAUUAGCAGUACUAGGGCUAUUCUGAAUGAGAGAGCUACGAGGUUAACUCACAUGUCAAAAAUACACAAGUUGUGAAAUUACAGAACUAUGCCAAAGUCUUAGUUCACUGUAAGGUGUAAUGUUUUUACCAAGUUAUAUUAUCACCACACAGAAAAAUGCAGUGCUGUAAAAAAAAAAAAAAAACAAAACACUUUUUAUUAAGGGGCAAAUUCUAAGUGUGUGAAGUCUUUUGAGAAAAAAAGUCUUUGGGGAAAAAAAGUCAUCAUUUUAUACCAGCAAGGCCACUCUCAAAGCAAAUCAGCAAACAAACUGGAUACUGAAGAUGUGGUAAUUAUGCUGUUACAAACUAAUUUCAAGACUCUGGAGAGAAAGCUGUCGGUGUCUGAUCAGAUGUUUCUUACAGGUUCUCAUUUCAGAGACAGGAGGAGAAUUUGCUCAGCAUCUGGCAGCUUCAUCUAGAUGCCAAUCUGAUCUAUCUACAGUCCAGAGAAGCUUGAUGAAGAAUGAUUUCUGUGGAAGGGUAGCAGCCAAGAAACCUCCUUUUCCAAAGGGUGACAUGGCUAAAAGCCUGAAAUGUGCAAAAUCUCAAAGACUGGAGUGAAGAUCAAUGGAAAAAAGUCAGAUGAAGUGAUGAAUCGAUAUUUCAAAUGUUCUGGUCCAACUGCCGACAACAUGAAAGAUAAAAAUGAGAGAGAGAGCUCCAAGAAAGAGCGUUUGCAGCGUCUAGUGACACACAGAGGAAGCUCUGUCAGGGUUUGGGGCUGCAUUUCUGCCAGCGUUCAGGAUAUUGUCCAAAUCAAUGAAGUCCUGAAUGUUAAUGAUAACAAGCAAAUUCUGAUCUUUCACUGCAUUCCCUCUAGAAAGCUCUGAUUGAUCACAGGCUAUUUUUCAGCAUGAUCAUGAUCUCAAGCAGAUUGCUAAUGCAGUGAAAUCACAUGUGACGUAAAAACAAAAACAAAAAGCUGAUAAAGCAGUGACAGUGAUAGACUGGCCUCCACAGAGUCCAGACCUGAAUGUUACAGAAGUUGUAUGGGAUUGUGUGGGCACAGGAAAAGAAGUGCUGAGGGAAGGUUGGUAUAAUGCAACACAAGAUUCCUAAAGAAAACCUCAAGACAGGCUACCCACCCUUUGCUCAUUGCAAAGGGAGGUCACACAAAAUACUGACCGUAACCCGUAGAAGCUAUUUUGGUCAACGAUUUUCUGUGCUUUUAAUAAUGUGUACUUAUUUCCUGUAUGUUCUUGUUAUGUCUUAAUAAAAAGCUGGUAAAUGCAUAUAUAUGCUCAUUAAAAACUUGCUAAAGCAACAAAUCUAAAAGGGGCCUAAUGCUAUAACACAGUACUAUAAGUAUCAGAGAACUUCCUGUUAAGUGAAAUGUAGAAUAAACACCACAGUACUUUUUUAUUAUUAGUCAAGUAGUAGCGAUGAAAGUAGACUACAAUACUAGGUGUUUUGAACAAUGUCUUAAUUAAGAGUUAGUCAAAUGCAUGGGGGACACAAUCAUUAACCUCUUUACUUACAGAGCAGAAGAAGUUUUCGCACAAAGUCCAAUAAAAACAUCACAAGUAUAUAAUUAAUCAUCAGUGCACAUCUGUGUGUAACAUUAACUGUUAGGUCCUCACUGAAUCUGUCUCUAUGUCGGGGACAAUCUAUAAUUCUGAGUAAUUAAUAAAGUUACA